AGCUCAAGUGAUCCUUCCGCCUCGGCCUCCCAAAGCGCUGGGACCGCAGGCCUGGGCCGCCACGCCCGGCCUUCCCUGGCCUCUUCCACACCUGAGUUGUGGCUCAUGAGUCACCUUGUGACCUCCUCUCCCCGGACAGUGUUUUAGGGUUACCGGUCUUGUUGCGGUGUCUAUGCCCCUGUGCAGCGCUGUGGGAGCAGGGCUGUGUCUGGGUUACCCCAGCAUCCCCAGGGCCCAGCCCAGUGACCACACCUGGAAGCGCUGGUGUCUAAAUGUGCAGAUAAAUAAAACACAGCCACCCAGCAUCACCGCUGUGGAGUGACAGUCCCCGCCAGGUUACUUCAGGGCGGACGUCCGUGGCCUGAACCCCAAAGGCCAGGCGGUGAGUCCAGGCCACGGUGCCCAGCGAGGAGCAGUUGUCCCCGAAAACCCAAACACCCCAGAGGGGAUGUGAGAACCGCCGCAGAGAGCAGGCCCAUCACACAGACGGGCGCCGAGGCAGGAAAUUAGCUCAAAUGCAGCUUAGGGAAGGAAGCACGCCCAUCUCUACUGCUGUCCUGCUGCCCACGAGUGCCCCAUACGUGAGUUCCGAUAAACUCGCCGACUCACCAAGCUGGACUCCGCCCAGUCGUUCUUUGGUCUCUCGGCAACUCCUACUUUGGGGUAAGGUUUUAAAUGUGAUUCUCGGUUUUUCUCAUUACAAGUGGUCAUCAGGAAAACACAAACCAAAACCACAGUGAGCUCCCACUGCACCCCACCAGCAUGGCUAGACUCACAGACAAACAUAAGUCGGAGAGGCGUGUGGGGAUUGUGGCCCCGCACGCGGCUGGUGGGGCUGUGAAAGGCUGCAGGGCUGGGGAAAAGGUGGGUGGGUCCUCAAAAGUGAAGCAGUUUCCACAGGGCCCAGCCGCCUCACUCCAGGCAUAUACGGAGAGAAACGACUCACAAAUGCACCCGUUCUACUGCAGCGUCGGUAAUGCUCAAAAGGCGGAAACCACCCAAAUGUCCACCCCCCAGUAAGUGAGUAACAAGAUGCAGGUGAUAGAAUAUUCCUCAGCCACACAAAGGAGUGAGGCGAUGACGCACGCUAUGAAGCCGGUGGGCCUUGGGGACAACGCUGGGUGGCAGAGGCCAGGCGUGAAGACCCUGCGUGGUAAGUGCAUGUGCUGGUGAGUUGACUGCUGUUGGUGAGGCUACAAGGACGCGGGAGAGACUUAGGAGGUCCGGGUUUCUUUGUAGGGGGACAAAAAUGUUCUACAAUUAGAUCGUAAGAACGUUGCACAACCCUGUGAAUAUACUCAAAACUGUUCAAUUAGGCCCUUUAAAUGGGUGGAUUUUGUGGUAUGUGAAUUAUAUUUCAAUGAAGCUGUUAAAAUAAUUUUUUAAAAGCAUGACCGUUUUGCCACUUUUUGUGUCCUUUUAGCACCCUCCUCUUUUUUCUGUCUCCGAGAGAGGCUGAGAUACAAAUGCAGUUGUAGGGGCCAGUGUGGACGGUUGAGAAAGACAUGGUGUGGUGGAAAGUGGCUGCUGUGCUGCGGCUCCCGGCCCUCCCCCCGGACCAUUCAGGCCUAAGGAAUCCUGCGGGCGGCUUCUGGCUUCUCAGGGAAGCCAGCGUGGGUGGGUGCUGAGGAGGAGGAGGGGCCAGAAGAUGCCACAGUGCAGGGUGGACGGCCUGCACCCAGGAAAGCCUGCCUGGCAUGGGGGGCAAGGAGUACAAGCCGGUGGUGUUUCCAUCAGAAACACACCUGUGUCAAGAACCAGGUCACUCAAGCUAACUCAAGGGAAAAACAGGAAAUGACUCCUGUGGAGAGGAGGCAGACACAGCGGGCUCUUCAGAGGGUGCUCAUCUCUGGAGGCGGGAGGAGCUGGGCAUGGUGCCCCACGGCAGGGCCACAACAAGGUUCCUCAUCAGCCCACAGGCAACUUUCCUAACCACAAACAACUAAACGAGCAGGGAGCCAGUCAGACUGCCCUCCUUCCUCCCUUCCAGAAAGUUCUAGAACGCCCACCCUUCUCUUACUCUGCAGGCACUGAGCUCGAGGUGAGGCCGGAAGCUUUACUCCCCAGACAGCCCAGCAUCAAGCUCAUGGCUUCAGGGGACGGCUCUCUCGUGGUGGGGGCAGGCGCAGACCCAAGGGCUUUCAGCGUCUCCAAGGCGGGGCUGCUGCUCCUCCCUUAUUCAGGCAGAGCAAGGGCCACAGAGCUCUCGACAGCACUGAGCUCACCAGUGAUAAAGCACUUCGGACAUCCGUGAAGGCAGACUGGCGUUGGGACUGUGGAGAGCUUGUGGGCACCCCAUGGAGCCGGUUAUCUUCAGAUGUUGACUGGCUGACCCUGGGUGCAGGUUCAAGCUGGGCACCCUGUCCUCACGGGCUGUGCUUUCCUAACCAGACAGCUGAACGAGCUGGGAGCCCCACCGGCCCACAAGAGCCUGGAACUGGCUGUGCAGAAGAUCUGACCUGGGAACGCCUCUCUCCUCUCCAGCCGGCAUCGGCCAGUCCCUCCAGCCCAGGCUGCUAUUUCAGAAGCUGGAGACCAACCCUAACAAUAAGGUGGCCAGGCCAGUGAGACAGCUCCCAUCUGCAGCUGGAGGCACUGAAGCCAGCGGACCACGCCUGCUCUGCUCAAACUCUGCAAUGCCGAUGUGGACUGCGGGUCUUCAAAGUGGUCUCCUCUGCCUUAGGAACACAGCAAGAAAAUGACGUGCAUUCUUGAUUUCACAGCUACUGGAGGAGUCAUCGGCCAGAUCGGCCGAGCAGUUGUUUCUUUUUGACCCGAUAAAAUUAUUUUUAGAAUAGCUCUGUUUUCCUGCUCAUGUUUGGCUUAGGAUAAAUAUAGAAAUUGUGCCUUCCUCAGCGUAUGCCGCCUGGGUGGCACAUGAACUGACAAAAGAGAAACUGCUGAGCACUAGCCCAGGGUGAAUAAUUGACCACGGGAAUCUAAAUAUUAAAGAAUAUUAAUGUGUAUUCUGAAGUUAUAGAAAUUAGCCAGUGUUUCCCUGGUGUGAGGACAGACAAUUGGGAAGAAAACAGUCUGGGUAAGACUGAAAUAGCUGAUUACGAGAGCAAAGAUGCAGACCACAAGAGCAGAAUGUAGAUAUGAAACAAAGCUUUAAAUUAGAAAACCAGUUUUAUUUUGGGUAGUUGAAAACAUCCCAGUUCAACCAAGUGUAGGAUGCAGCUGUCUUUUAUGAAGCAUGAGUGCCCAUGGAGGUGCCCAGAUGCCCCUCGAAUCCAGUGUGAAUGGCCUUGUUACUAAGGCCUUAAAUCUAAGAUGCUGCUGAUUUUAGGGUGCACUGUUAUUACCAAGAAAGGGAGAAAUGCUGCCAAUUAAACUGUUCAGUUUUUUUUUUUGUACUCAUUAAAAGAGCUCUUUUAUAGUUAUUGAUGCUGGUUGAUGGAUACAUGCA